GACGAAGGAUGCAAGCGUUAUCCGGAUUCAUUGGGUUUAAAGGGAGCGUAGGUGGCCUUAUAAGUCAGUGGUGAAAUCCUGUUGCUUAACAGCAGAAUUGCCAUUGAUACUGUAGGGCUUGGAGUACAGUUGCUGUGGGCGGAAUAUGACAUGUAGUGGUGAAAUACAUAGAGAUGUCAUAGACACCAUGCGAAGGCAGCUCGACAAA
rnacentral:rRNA from 1 species